rnacentral:tRNA from 1 species
UAAUAAGUAAUAAAAUUAUUUAUUUUUAGUUUCGACCUAAACCGUGGAAGAUGCUCAUUCCCUUAUUUU